rnacentral:lncRNA from 1 species
AUCAAAAAUCAAUUUCACUUUAAAAAAUGCUGGAUAACGUGUUUCAGCUUAGCGGGUUCUGCGUGCAGAACAGCUUUUAGCUAACUUCCAAAACCAAGGAUAUCUCCUGCUUCGUACAAAACAAUAUUGCGUCGUUGCCGAAAAUACAUGUUAUAACAAGUGCCAAGAGAUACAAACUGACGAUAAAGAGAUCUGUCACUUAACACGGACCACUUAAGUCAAUGAUUGUCCUUAACCUCGCGUCAGAAUGUUAUGCCAUAUGUUACCGUGGCAGCAUGCAACAGAAAUAUGAAGUAUCUACUAACAAUCAUUUACUCAACGAUGCAAGUAUGGUCAUGAAACUCUCGAACUGAGCUCUGUGGUCAAUAUAAAAUCUUUGGUUUAGCCCUGCAAGGUUCCAAAACAAGUUGUCUCUAACGUUGCUUAAUUAACAUGAAACUGCUGAAGAUAUUGCGACCAAGAAAAGCAAAGAUUAAGAAGAUAUCCUUGAGAAACUUGUUAUCUGAAGAAAGUGGAUAAGAUUAAUCAACGGAAAUAACUAACAGUUUUUCAAAGCCAUGCAUGGUUAAGAAGAUGACAUAGGGCUGCCAUGCAGGUUUGUAACAAUUAUUCCAGUCGCAAUUGGUGAAAGACUAACCCAUUACAAAUCAUCUCCCAAGUCAGGUUACAAUAUGACCAUUACAAUAGGGAAACGAAUAAAAGAUUAAAAGAAGGAAACUGACAACAAAUGGCCGAAAAAAGAUAAAAAAAAAGGAACUGAAUCAAACGUGUAAGCUGAACUGCAGGUUGUGCGACAUCUUGAAAUGUUAACACGGAUAACGUUGAUAAUUUUCUACAAUGACAUGUGAAAUAGCAAGAAAUACAAAUCGACAAAGAGCUGAACGCAUAAACUUUGUGUAACCUAGAAACCUUUCACUAGGAAUAUAUCAGUGAACUAAUCCUAAGAAGGAAAGAGGAAUUGACGCCAUAAUUCUACAAAAACGUGAAGUAUUAAAUAAAUUUUGCUCUCAAGAUUUACUGUGGUUUUCCGGCAUUAUAAUACCAUUCAUAAUUGUUUUGAUGUUACUUUAAGAUAAAUAUAAACUAGCGUGCCACUGAAAGAUCUAGGAAAGCAAAGAAGUUGCUCUUGGCCUUUCAAUCUGGCGAUUAAGGUAUUGAUUAUUGAACUGCAAGGAAAAGAACACGAAGUUUGGCAAACAAGUUGAUAUUAGAAACGGCGGUAUGACUUUACCAUUCCCUACUUUUAUGUAUUUAAUCAUUGAGAGUUUGGUUCGAUCAAUAUAAUUUGCCCUUUUACUUCUUCUUUCCUUUUUAAGUCUUCAUUUAUGUAUUAGAUGUUAAGUCUUCGUGACUGAAAAACUGGACAUGAAAUGGAUGAAGCAGCGAGGCCGACAUUGCCUGAAGCGCUAAUCUCGCUACCACAGCGUCCCAGCUAGUUCGUGUUUUCAUCCAUGCGCGCUUGUGAAUUGCCAACUGGUUUGCCAUCUGCUAAUUCGAAUGUACAAUCUUGUUUUGUUUCAUUUUAAUGAUUAUCUGUUAUAUUAAGUUUCCUUGGUCCUACUAACCUUUGUUCUUUAAGUCUUGCCGAAGUUGCAAUUGGGCGAUAUCAUCAGACGUUUACAAAAAAGAACAUAAAACAGCUGUAGGCGCAUAGUUCCUCAAGCUACUGAGCUUUUAUUCUUUAGAAUAGGAAAGAGAAAAGUUAGAGGAAGUUAUCCACGAAGAGAGCAUUGUGUGGUUAUAGGGCAAGAAACUGUCACGUCUUGUCAUGCAUGAUGAAUUCUGCCUCCAGGAGCACAGCGAAGAAAGAAGGACUCGAAGAUCAAAAGUAGUAAACAUUUAACAGCAAUAGAUAAUUAUAAUCAAAGUAUGCCUUCCCUUCCCUUCAGAUUCAAGGGGUAAGAAUGACUGAUUUAGGUCACUUUCUGGCCUUCAUGCCUACCUUCAAGGUAGAUUUGGAUUUCACUAGUAAUAUUUUCAAAUAUGUUAUCCAACCUUGAACACUACCGAUACAAUUCAAGAAACUUGUCAACUGUAACUAAGGGAAUGUUAACACCUUGUAUUUUACAACGAAUUAUACGAACCGCGUCGUAUGAGUCAUAUCUUAGCGGAAAGUUGGACGUUCUAGCAGCGCAUCAUUUUUACUCGUGGAAUGCUGUUAAAAAUAUAUGGCAUUUAGGUGUUAGCAGGUUGACUCUAGGUACGAAAGCACCUACUACUUCGCGUUUAUUUCCAUCUCUUGCAUCUGUUGUAAUAUACUUUAACGCGGCCAUACUCAGGUGCCGAGCAGUAAUAGCUGUAUCAUUAUUUUGUGUUAAAAUUUUUUGGGCACUUAGGAAUAGCCCCAACCCAACAAAGAAAUUGAAGAUACAGGGUUCUAAAUGGAGUAAAUACACUGGCACAAUUUUGAGCAUAAUAGCAAGGGAAAAUAAUCAAGCACUAUGCUAGAAUAAUACUGCAAAAACAAAACAAAACAAGACAAAACAAAUAAAAAAACAAAUGAAAUAAAUA